GGUUGGGAAAAAUAUCAAUAAAAUUUUAUUAGAUUUGUCAUUUGUUUCUAUUCGAACUGAAAAUUCGCAUAUAUGUAGUAAUCAUACGAAGGAAAUCAAAUAAAAAUAUGCAAUACCAGUUAAAACAAAUCAAAUCACAACUAAUAAUAGUUUUAAAGAACAUAUAUCUCACAUGAUCCGUCGUAUGUAUAUAAGGAAAUUGCCAAAAAUACCAUUUUCAAAAUACCUCUUUUCAUGUUUACACUAACCACUUUUACCCUCUUCUUUAACGAAGAGUAAAAAAUAUUUAUAAUCUUUUGAUUAACUUUGACAAAAAAAACAUAUGGUUAACUAAUUUAAACUUAAAACAUCAACUCUAAACCCUAAAUCAUCAACUGUAAACCCUAAACCAUGAAACAUCAACUCUAAAUCAUGAAUUCCGAAACAUCAACUCUAAACCCUAAACCCUAAACCUUCAAAUCUAAACCUUAAAACAUCAACUCUAAACCCUAGACGUAAACCCUAAAUCCUAAAUCUAAACUUAAAGCAUCAACUUUAAACCCUAAAUCAUCAACUCUAAACCCUAAACCAUGAAACAUCAACUCUAAACUCUAAACCCCGAAACAUCAACUCUAAACCCUAAACCUUCAAAUCUAAACCCUAAAACAUCAACUCUAAAUCCUAACCGUAAACCCUAAACCCUAUAUUUUUCUGAAAUUCGAACCUAAACCCUUAAACCUUAAACCUUCAAAUCUAAACCCUAAAACAUCAACUCUAAACCCUAAACAUAAACCCUAAACCCUAAAACCCCAAACCUUCAAAUCUAAACCCUAAAACAUCAACUCUAGUUUUAGGGUUUAGGGUU
rnacentral:lncRNA from 1 species